GACGAACGCUGGCGGCGUGCUUAACACAUGCAAGUCGAACGGAAAGGCCCUGCUUUUGUGGGGUGCUCGAGUGGCGAACGGGUGAGUAACACGUGAGUAACCUGCCCUUGACUUUGGGAUAACUUCAGGAAACUGGGGCUAAUACCGGAUAGGAGCUCCUGCUGCAUGGUGGGGGUUGGAAAGUUUCGGCGGUUGGGGAUGGACUCGCGGCUUAUCAGCUUGUUGGUGGGGUAGUGGCUUACCAAGGCUUUGACGGGUAGCCGGCCUGAGAGGGUGACCGGCCACAUUGGGACUGAGAUACGGCCCAGACUCCUACGGGAGGCAGCAGUGGGGAAUAUUGCACAAUGGGCGGAAGCCUGAUGCAGCAACGCCGCGUGCGGGAUGACGGCCUUCGGGUUGUAAACCGCUUUCGCCUGCGACGAAGCGUGAGUGACGGUAAUGGGUAAAGAAGCGCCGGCUAACUACGUG
rnacentral:rRNA from 1 species